AUGUACUUCCUGCAGGCUGUGCAGCACAGACUGCUGAGUGGCACACCAAGCCCGCUGCAGGCUGUGCCAGGAGAUGACCUGCUGGUGCAGAGCACACCCCCCCGUGUUAAACAUAUCUGGUCCUGCAGCAAGCAGGGAGAAGCAUGGGUACUGGCUGGCUGGCAUGGCCUCUGGGUCUACUACAGGUUCAGGCAGCAGAGGGCACCAAGGAAACUGCCUCUGAUGCAAGGACCACAGAGAUUGGCAGCGAUUCCUGCAACAGCCCACAACUCACACUGAUGUCCCAGAAACACCUGGCAACUGGGGUAAGGUACUAUAGCAUUUCAAUGCUUUCAGCUAGGGUUGCUCACAGAUCACUGCUCUGUGUCAAAAUGGGAGAUACACAGUUUGACUACAGCAAGCCAAAGCCUUAACAAAUACAUGGCCUUGUCUCAGUUUAAUGAAGUGGGUUACUUAUUUGCUUAUAUGGAACUUGAUGCCAUUACCCCACAGGCUGCAGAACACAGUCCUUUGAUCCAUGACCAAAAAGCAUUCUGGUGCAUGGGCAGCUCACAGUAGCUUCGGUCCUUUCCUGUGAGCUAGGGCAGAAAUCUGAUCAAUAGCUAAUGCUACUUUCUUAAGUGCCUUCAGCCCCUUAUCAUACACACUAAUUCACAUUUCACUUUCCAGGAGCCCACUGCCUCAACACAGUCUUAUAAGAGGGUGGACCAGUGGACUUUGUGGACCAGUUUCCUGCUCUGCAGUGCCUUGCUUGCUACCAGCCAGACCUUGGUUCAUCCCCAGAUCACCAUAACGAACAGUUUAUAACAGUGAAGUUAUUUGAAGUAGAAACCAUAUAAUAACUUAUUGUGGAGACAUAUCCUACUGUUCUCAGUACUAAAAAAAAGCUAGCAUUUAACGCAAUACCAAGACCCCAGACCAGUAUUUACUGUAGCCUUGACUGCUUUACAGUGAGCAUAGAUACAAACACCUUAUAAAGCACUGGCUAUGCUGAAGUUGCCACAUACCCUUGUCCUUGUUCUUGCCCUGAAUGCUCAGCUCUGCCUAAACUGUUACAGGUCAAUUUCUGUUUUCUGUAAUCUGUAUGUGUGAACACACUGUUAGAGACUUAUACAAGGCCAAGCUUCUUGGAGCCUAUCUGAGAAUAGUUACUACUAAAAAAAACCUCCUAAACUGGAGUUGUUGCAGCUUCACUUGUAACUACACCCCAAGAUGGUGCCGUAUGCUUGUGUUGUCAAGGAUAAGAGCAAGUGAGCCCUGUGACAAUCCCCCUUGCUUCUCUGCACUGCAUGCAUUUUCCCCCCUUCUGUAAGAGAGGUAGCAUCAAAAACGAUCACUGGUACAUAAGUAAUACCUUACUGGAGCUAAAGAAAGCAUCCUAAUGUACCAGAAAAUGAAAAGCAGACAAGCAUAAUGCAUUUGAUAGAAAUUCCAUGAAAUGAUGAUGAAAUGAUUGAAAACAGCCCUGCCAAAAAAAGAACUGGAGGCAGUGGUAGAUGGGAAGCUGGACAUGAGCCAGCAAAGUAUCCUUGCAGCCCAGAAAGCAAACUGUAUUGGGAGCUGCAUCAAAAGAAGGGUGGACAGCAGGCUGAGGGAGGUGAUCCUGCCCCUCUACAGCUUCUCAGCUGCUAACUAACAACAGAAGCCAAAUGCAAUCCAACUGCAGCACUGUAUGGAGAUUUGAUACUGUCCCCUUCAUUCAUUAUAUGGUGGUGAGCCAGAAUUUUAGUUUAGUUUUUAAGGAAGAGAAAGCCUUCAAACAAUCCCAAACACCUCUGUGACAACCAUUCAGUCAUGCUUUGCUGAGAAGUUUGUUAACAAGCAGUAUGAAGGCAGCAAGCUGAGGCAAAUCCCUUCAGCAGAGUGCACCAGGAGAAGACAAGGAUUACAUGUUGCCUUGCCAGCCUCUUAGAAUUCAUGGGCUAUACAUUUACGGCUACAUCCUGGACGUGUGUUUACUCCUUCUACAGAGAAGAUGGCAUCUCACCAGAUGAGAAAAAAGAGUGUAGUGUAGUCUUUGAUUUUCACAUCCUCUGAGAAGCUGGAAACUAAUGGAACAAGGACACAUCGAAGGAAGACUGAUUAUACUGGUCUUUUGCAAGACAGAAUACAAUGCUGCUAGCAUUAUUCUCUGUAUAACUGUAAAGUUAAGCCUGCAGCAAAUUUGCUGCAGUUACACGUAACGGCACACACUGCAGCAUCAGAGCUCUGAGAAACAGUAGUCUGCCUCUGGGCUAUAAGUCCACCACCCCAACAUGGUCUAUAAACUCUUAUGGACAUAUAUAAAUGGAGACAUUUAACAUCAAAAUCCACUUUUAAAUACACAUGCCAGAUGAAGCAAAAGUAGAUUUUUUUUAUCCUUUGUACCUACAAUACCUGUCACAGGAAUGAAGUGCAUGAGAAGGUCUCAGAUUGUUUUACGAAUCACUAGCAAACACUUUCCCCUCUGCAAAAAGAGACACACAGAUCCAGUAACAAAAUCCAAGCACUACUUCCACUAGAUGUUAUUUCUAUUAUGCUCCAAUUACUCCAAAACAUAUCUGAGAAGACUACAUAUAUAUAUGAAUUGGUUAAUGUGAACUUGUAAUUAGAAUUCAAUUAGAAAAAAAGGUGUUAUAGCAUCACUCUCUCCGCAAAGAUGCAAAAAGCAAAAGCAGACAAGGUCUAGAAUGUAUUUAGUUAGCAAGUCACUUUGUCUUAUCUAAGUAGGAUUUAAUAAUUUAUCCAUGCUUUAAAAAAAAAAGAAAACCUUUCUUACUCUCAGCACUGAAUACAGUAAUAAGUGACCUGAAUAGAUACACAGGAAUAUAGCAAGACAGAGCUUGUCUGACCCCCCCAAGCCUGCCAAAAUAACCAGACCAACAAAUAAGAUAAAUCUAUUUGGCAGAAGGAUUUGGUUCUCUUUUUGGUAGUUUCUUUUAACUUAUUUAAAACAAAACAAAACAGCUGUAUUGGAAUCAAAGAAUCAAGCUCAAGAUAGUCACAAAAAAAUAAAGAAUGUAUUUUUCCUCCA
ensembl:lncRNA